rnacentral:rRNA from 1 species
UACAGAGGUCCCAAGCGUUGUUCGGAUUCACUGGGCGUAAAGGGUGCGUAGGUGGUUGGGUAAGUCUGAUGUGAAAUCUCCGAGCUUAACUCGGAAAUGGCAUUGGAUACUAUUCAGCUAGAGGGUUUGAGGGGGGACUGGAAUACUUGGUGUAGCAGUGAAAUGCGUAGAUAUCAAGUGGAACACCAGUGGCGAAGGCGAGUCCCUGGAAAACUCCUGACACUGAGGCACGAAAGCUAGGGGAGCAAACAGG